rnacentral:misc_RNA from 1 species
UUCUCUAGUCAUUCAAAUGUCAUUAUUGUCCGCAAUAUGUUCUGAAGGAAAAUCAGUAAAUAAUUCUGCACGGCCCAGUAAAUGUCAAAUGAUAAUUUCCGCGUGUGUAACAAAAAAACACAAUAUAUAUAGAAAUUGAUAUUGUAAUGUAAAGUAAGUAUUGGAAUUGAUCAUGAAGUGGUUUGUCAUUGUAGCCCUAGUCCUGAUUGGAAUAUCGACUUCUUAGUUAACCAAGUAAGUUCACUUAUGGAUCUUGGCUGGAAAUUAAAUAUACCCGAAAGGUUUUUUACAAUACUAUCAAAAUUAUGGAAUAAAUGUCAGUUAUUUUGACGUUGAUCCAUCUACGAUGGAAUGUAUUCGAGUAACGGAAGAAGGAUAUAAAAUUACAGGCAUAGGCCAAUGGUGCUCCCUAUAAUGGAUCUGUAACAUGGAGAAAGGAAGCGAAAAGGCCAAUGAAUAUCUCAAUAUUUGUGUUAGAAUUUGAUUCAGAGGUUUACAAAGACCAUUGUUCACGUAAUGUAAUACGCUUUAAUGGUUACCUAAAAGGAAGUGACACUCUACUUUUCUACACCCUACGCUCAUUUACGAUGGACGGGUACAUGAAAUAUACUCACACACAUGUUGCAACAAAUUCUACUGCUUUCACCAUUUUUAAAAAAAGAAACAAGUAUGAAUAUUGAAAAAUGAAUUUGUAAACUUUACAUUUUUUUCUAAUAAAUGUUAAAAUUACUUGUUUACUAUUUAUUCCAAGGUCUUGCUCGAAGUUUUGUUCGGCUAUUAAAGGCUUGAUGUGAUCCAAUGCUGUCUUUAAAUUUGUAAAUAGCUUUUAGUUGUAUUAUGUGUUACACCUAUUUCUAAUAGUUACAAUCUCUGAUCAAGUGUAUAAAUGCAUAUGUACAUGAUAUUUUUUAUUGCCACAACUCUUGAAAUAAAUGAAACGUUAUAGCCUAAAAA